UGCACCACUAGAAAGAUGGCGAAGCAAGAGCGAAGAAAAAUCCCUUUGGUUCCAGAAAAUCUGCUAAAAAAGAGGAAGGUCUAUCAAGCCCUCAAAGCCACCCCGGCAAAGCAGGCACUUUUAGCAAAGAAGGAGCAGAGGAAAGGAAAAGGGCCAGGUUUCAGCGACUGGACUCAUUCCUACAUGAUUCCUGGCGACAGAAACGCGACGUGAAACCUCAUGCCUUGGAAUUGCCAGACAAACAUUCUUUGGCCUUUGUUCUACACAUCGAAAGGAUUGAUGGCGUGAGUUUACUGGUGCAGAGAACCACUGCAAGACUUCACCUAAAGAAAAUUUUUAGUGGUGUCUUUGUAAAAGUCACCCCCUAGAACCUAAAAAUGAUGCGUAUAGUGGAACGUUAUGUGACCUGGGGAUUUCCAAAUCUGAAGUCUGUCCGAGAAUUCAUUUUGAAACGUGAUCAAGCCAAGGUCAAGAAUAAGACCAUUCCUCUGACAGACAACACAGUGAUCAAGGAGUACCCGGGGAAGUUUGGUAUCAUUUGCUUGGAAGACCUCAUUCAUGAAAUUGCCUUCCCAGGGAAGCGUUUCCAGGAGAUCUCAUGGUUCUUGCACCCUUUCCACCUCUCAGUGGCCGGUCAUGCUACCAAAAAUAGAGUGGGCUUCCUCAAGGAGAUGGGCACACCUGGCUAUCAGGGUGAACGCAUCAAUCAGCUUAUCCACCAGCUGAACUAGACCCAGGUGUCAAACUGCGGUAAAUUUUUAUCAAUGAAGUGGAAGCAUGUGUUUUGUUGUUUGGGGAAUUUUUAUCAAGUGUCUUCAGAGAAGAUUAUUUCCUGCUUUAUCUUCAAAAACUGGAAAGGAAGGGUCAAAGAAAAGGCAGUAGCUGGCUGGGCGUGAUGGCUCAUGCCUGUAAUCCCAACACUUUGGGAGGCUGAGGCGGGUGGAUCACCUGAGGUUGGGAGUUCGAGACCAGCCUGACCAACAGGGAGAAAUGCCGUCUCUACUAAAAAUACAAAAAUUAGCCGGGCAUGGUGGCGUGUGCCUGUUAUCCCAGCUACUCGGGAGGCUGAGGCAGGAGAAUCUCCAGGCGGAGGUUGCAGUGAGCCGAGAUCAUGCCAUUACACUCCAGCCUGGGCAACAAGCGAAAGUCCAUCUCAAAGAAAAGAAAAGACAGUAGCUUACGUUUAUGGCAAGCACCUCUCAUCGCAGUCCAGUUCCAAGGAAAAAUUCCAGUGUUUUCUACAUUGGGUGCUGCGUCGUCUGAAAUCAGCACAUUCCAUGGAGGAAGGGUCCUGCUUUGUUGCAUCUAUCCUAGGGUUUAAUGUUGGUAAAUGAGUCACUCUAGCAUUCACACAAGGCUCCCUAAGACUCCUGCAGCAGUUGACCAAGCCCAAGGACAUAACCGAAUCUGGAGAGUCCUGGGGCCUUGUUUUGAAAAAAACUUGAAAUACACAUA